rnacentral:lncRNA from 1 species
GUCGGUCUUUUGGAGCGACGCCACCGUUCAACGCUGUUUGUGUUUGGUAAGUGCUUUUACCCGCGUGGUUCCUCGGCCUGAUCUGUUACUUUGGGUAGGCGUUCAACAUUCCCUGAGGAUCUUGUUGUUUAGAGGGAUUACCUUUAGCGGCAUCCACUCAAACUACAUUUAGGCAUGCGAUGGGGCUGAGAAGGAUGUGGGCCGCGCAGCCCCAGAAGCUUUUAAGGACUGCUAUCCGGGUGUCGGAGAUGACUAAGGCACAGCGUUAAUUGCUGCCUGGUACAUGAUCCGGAAAAGAACUGCACAUAAACGUUUCGUUCCAUAUCCGCGUUUUAAAAAUUUUCCAAAUUUCAGGCUGGGGUUGUGGCUCCACGGUGGAGCGCUUACCUAGGAUGCGUGAGGCACAGGAUUCGAUCCCCAGCACCAUAUUUUUAAAAAGAACUAAAGGCAUAAAAGGAAAAAAUGUAUUCAGGGCUAAGGUUGUGGCUCAGCGGUAGAGCGCUCGCCUAGCAUGCAAGGCCCUGGUUUCGAAGUAUGCAGGCUUCUUAUAGCGCUACAAUUUGUUUUUGUUAUUGGGGCAGUUUAGAGAUAUUAAGUGUUUGAUCGCUUAAUUAUGAGAUGACUUACUGUUUUUUUUUUUUCCUUUGUGGGGCUGGGGAUUGAACCCAGUGCCGCUAUCAACUAGAAACUAAUAAUUGGUACAGUGUUUUGUAAGUUAAAUUAAUUACAGUGACAGUCCAACGUGGAUACUCCCGGGAGGUCACUCUCCCCGGGCUCUGUCCAGGUGGCAUAGGGGAGCAUAGGGCUCUGCCCCAUGAUGUACAGUCCCUUUCCACAACGUUGGAGAUGAAGCUGGGCUUUGUGUCUGCACCUGCAUAUUCCUACGACUUCUCAGAGUCUGUGGACUAUGACUGAGGAGACAAACCAUGCAGGAAACAAAGUAUUUUGAUUAGUCUCCUGUUUAUGGUAGAUCUGCUUUAACCUUUUAUUGUAUUGAUAAGUGAAUGCUUUAUUUUGCAGAUUGAUGAUUCCAAAUACUUCUUGCUUGGGUAAGUAGCCGAUGGAUUUUUUUAACAAUGUAUGCUCAUGUUUGUGAAGAUUGCUAAGGUAUCACAUUUUAUGUGUUUGAGGAGAGGGUUCUAUUUAAAAGUGAAAAGACUUAAAAUGGAGUUCAAAGACUAGUUUGGGAUUCACUAAAAGCAGUUUCAAUCUAUCUACAGGUAUGGUCAGAGGUGAGAAAAAUUGAAGCACAUAAGGAUGUUUUGAGGAUCAAUGAUAUUUAGGACUGUUGGCAAACUCCACAGUACUCAAGCAUUCCAACGUGGAUAACCCGGGAGGUCACUCUCCCCGGGCUCUGUCCAGGUGGCAUAGGGGAGCAUAGGGCUCUGCCCCGUGAUGUACAGUCCCUUUCCACAACGUUGGAGAUGAAGCUGGGCUUUGUGUCUGCACCUGCAUAUUCCUACGACUUCUCAGAGUCUGUGGACUAUGACUGAGGAGACAAACCAUGCAGGAAACAAUAUCUAGCAUACUAAAAUUUUUUUAUUAGAGUAAGAUCUUCAGGAUUCUAAUCUUGAGUUUAUUUUCAUUCAGGAGAAGAAGAGCAAUAUUCAACUUCAGCUGAUAACUGGAUUUGGGAUCCUUUAAUCAGACGUAAGAAUGGUCAUUAUUAUUAAGAGUUUGAAAAUCAUCUCAACAAUUGUCUAGGAAUGCAAAUUCUGUUAUCCCAGAUUUAAACCUUGACUGCUGACAUAGGCUACCCAGUUCACCAAGUACUCCUGGAAAUUAAGGAAUUUAAGAAAGCACGGGGUCUCUAGAGGGCCUGUGAAGUUAAAAUUUGUCAUGGUGACUAAGAAUAUUUGGCAUUUUCCAAAUUCCAAACAAGAUCAGUCAUGUUUUCUAACAAAUGCACUGCAGAAGAACAUGUUGAUAUGUCUUGAGCAAAAUUCAUUAUGAUUUCCGUUUUAUACUGUUUGUAGUAUAUCUAACAUCUGAGGCAAGUUAAUGUGAAUUGAAAUAAAAAAAAAACUUGUGAAUUGAAAUAAGUGUGACUGCAUGUUUCUGUGGUUCUUUUUCAUGUAGCAUUGUUGGGCUUCAGCCAAAUUAAAUGGUGCUGGUUAACUAAGUUAGAUUUCACUGGGGUUAACUCAAAAGUAGUAUAAGGUCACAAGAGCAAGUCCCAGGUUUGUCCAUGUGUACAGCUAGUGUACUUGCUCUAUGCUCCUUCCUGAGAGCUUGAAAUUGUUGGCCUGCUUCAUCAUGUUAGAAAGUUAAGUCACAAUGGAAGCCUGGUCAAGUCUCUGCACUGGUUGCCAGCAGUGUGGGAAGAUUAAGUCCCUAACAGAUGGACCAGAGGGAAACCAUCUAGAAGGUAAGAUUUAAGGUCACUGGGAACAGGUUUGGUUGUGUGAAUUGUGUUUCUGUCAGCCAUCCCGGAGUUCAUCAGGGAAGAGCUUUGAGGGUAGGUGCUAGUUACACAUGGUUAUGGAACUACCAUAGCAGAAGUGAUUUACCCCGCCCCCCUUAAUUAAGAUAAUUUCACAUAAUUCAGUGGUGCAGUUAGUUUUCGGCGGACACAACAUCUUUGUAUGUGGUGCUGAGGAUCGUACCCAGGCCGCACGCAUGCCAAGCGAGCGCGCUACCGCUUGAGCCAUAUCCCUAGCCUGACAUCCAUGUUCUUUAAGCCCCACUGUUGUAAAGGUGAGACUGGCCUUGAAUUUGAGAUCCUCUUCCCUCCAUCUUCUGAGUUGCUGGGAUUACAGACAUGCGCUACCAUGCCAGCCCCACAUUUCAACGUUUUUAAUAUGCUAUAACACCUGUAAUUCCAGUGGCUUGAGAAACAGCAGGAUAACAAGUUUGAGGCCAGCCUCAGCAAUGGGUAAGGCACUAAACAACUUAAGACCCUGUCUCAAAAUAUACAAAGGGGUGGGAUGCAGGUCAGUGGUAAAACACCUCUGGGUUCAAUCCCUGGUACCUAGUGACAUUGAGGGGGGGGGUAUUUUGGGGUUUUGCAGUUUUGGGCGGACACAACAUCUUUGUGGUGCUGAGGAUCGAACCUGGGCCGCACGCAUGCCAGGCGAGCGCGCUACCGCUUGAGCCACAUCCCCAGACCAACAAGGCUGGUUUUGAACUCCUGCCUCAACUUCCCAAGCUUCUGGAAUUACAGGUGUACACCACCAUGCCCAGCUUGAAACCAGGAUCUUGUAUAACCUGGGCAAGUGCUCCACCACAGAACUACAUCCCCAACCCAUAAUAACUUUGAAUUCCAUCACUCAUCAUCUCUGCACUUCUGGGUCAGGUUCAAUUAAUGGAUAGUUUUUUUUGUUUUUUUUUUUGAAGUUUUUAAUGUUUUUUAUUUUUUAUUUUUCUUUGGACACAACAUCUUUAUAUUAUUUUUAUGUGGUACUGAGGAUAGAACCCAGAGCCCCCUGCAAGCCAGGCGAGCGCGCUACCACUUGAGCCACAUCCCCAGUCCCUGGAUAGUUUUUUUUAUGGUUCACAUUCAAUAAAAUAGUGAUAGGGUGUGAAAGAAAUUAAAGCUGAUGUUUGAUUCAGAGAUAGUUAUGUGGGCCCAAUAAGUCUUAAUGGAAGUAGGACUGAAUUGGGCCUUAAAAGAUGAAAAAUUCUGUUGCUAGACACAAUGGAGUAAACCUGUAAUCCCAGUGGUGUAGGAGACUAAGGCAGGAGGAUCACAAAUUCAAAGGCAGCCUCAACAAUUUAGCUAGGCCCUAAGCAACUUAGUGAGACUGUCUCAAAAAAAUUUUUUAGGGGCUGGGGAUGUGGCUCAAGCGGUAGCGUGCUCCUCUGGCAUGCUUGUGGCCCGGGUACAAUCCUCAGCACCACAUACAAAGAUGUUGUGUCUGCCGGAAACUAAAAAAAAUAAAAUAAAUGUAUAUAUAUUUAAAAUUCUCUCACUCAAAAAAUAAAAAAAAAUUAAAGGGCUGGGGAUGUGGCUCAAUGGUUAAGUGACCCUGGGUUCAAUCCCUGGUACAAAAAAAAAAAAGUAACAAGAAAUCUCAUUAUGUACCAAUAAAAAAUGUGGAAAGAGGGCUGGGGAUGUGGCUCAAGUGGUAGCGCGCUUGCCUGGCAUGCUUGAGGCACUGGGUUCGAUCCUUAGCACCAUAUAAAAAUAAAUAAGUGAAAUAAAGGUACUGUGUCCAACUACAAUUAAAAAAUAAUUUAAAAAUGUGGAAAGAAAAAUAGUAAAAUGAACUAUGAAACAUUAAAAUAAAUACAUAUAUAUUAUAUAUAUGAAUGAAGAAUUCAGGCUGGAGUGGCGCCACAUGCAUGUAAUCCCAGCUGCUCUGGAAGCUGACAAGAAGACUGCAAGUUUGAGUCCACCCUGGGCAAUCUACUGAGACCUAUCUCAAUUUAAAAGAAGAAAAAAGGCUUAGGAUGUAACUCAGUGCUAGAACACCCCAGGGUUCAAUCCCCAGUACCACCAAUAAAUAAAAUUAUAUGUAUAUACGUAAGUAUACAUAUGUGUGUGCUUAUAUACAUAUGUACAUACAUAUAUACUUACUGGGUUUAAUCUCCAAUAUGGCCAAAUGUAUAUAUGCGGGUGUGUAUAUACACAUACUUGUAUCAAGAAUUCAGGUAGUCAGAGCCAAGCACAGUGGUACACGCCUGUAAUCCCAGCAGCUCUGGAGGCUGAGGCAGGAGGAUCCAGAGUUCAAAGCCAGCCUCAGCAAUGGUGAGAUGCUUACCAACUUAGUGAAACCCUGUCUCUAAACAAAAAUACAAAAAUAGGGCUGCAGAUGUGGCUCAGUGGUUGAGUACCCCUGAGUUCAAUCCCCAGUACCAAAAAAUAAUAAUAUAUAUAUGCAUGCAUGCAGGAAGAAAGGCACCCUAGUAGAGGGAAUAGCCCAGAUAAAGGUGAGAGAGUGGAAAUGAAUAAUGGGCACUUUCAGAGUAGUGUAGCAGGUGAUAAAGAAAUACGAAAUUUACAGCUCAGGGCAUUUGUAGCCUUGUGUUCCAAGCAUAGCUCUAAAGAAGUACUUGUUGAGGGGCUGGGGAUAUAGCUCAGUUGGUAGAGUGCUUGCCUUGCAUGCCCAAGGCCCUGGGUUCAAACUUCAAUCCUCAGCACCAAUGAAUUAGAGGAGAGGCCAGGACAGUUUUAGACAAGAGGAGCAGAAAUGGAAAUACAGAGUGGGAAGAAUUAAAAAAAAAAAGAAAGAAAAGAAAAAACAAGGUUUAAACCUAUACUUUUCAGAGAACCCUAAUAUUGAUUGGAAGUUGGGGGAGGGAGUCUAAAUCCAUGGGAAAGUACUGAAUUGUGUGGGGCACAGUGGAACAUGCCUGUAGUCUCAGUGGCUUGAGAGGCUGAGGCAGGAGGAUCACAAAUUCAAAGCCAGCCUCAGCAACUUGAAGAGAACCUGUCUCUAAAUAAAAUUUAAAAGAGGAACUGGAGAUGUGGCUCAGUCACAAUGUGCCCUUGGGUUCAAGCCCUGGUACAAAAAAAAAAAAAAAAAGACAUUGAGUUGCUGGGCAUAACACAUGCCUAUAAUCCCAGUAACUUGGGAGGCUGAGAUAGGAAGAUGGCAAGUUUAAAGCAGCCCAAGAAACUUACUAAGAAAAAUGUUGGGUCUUCUGGAUAGAGAUGCAGGGUGGUAACUUGGGGUAGACAUCAGAACCAGCCCAAAUGGGCUGACAUGUCAAUUAAAAGGUGAUAGCCCAUGGCUAGGGAUGUAGCUCAAUGGUACAGAGGUUGCCUGAUUCACAUAAGGCCUUGAGUUUGAUCCCCAGGAUCACAAAAAAUGUGAUGGCCUAUCCUUAAGAGCCAGGUCUCCUUCCACCAGUUUUGUGAUGACCCUAGGGAACUUACUUAACCUCUUUGAAUUUCAUUUUCCAACUCAUGAAGUUUUUUUUUUUUUUUUUUUUUUUUUUUUUUUAAUAUUUAUUUUUUAGUUGUAGUUGUCAAUACCUUUAUUUUUUUAUGUGGUGCUGAGAAUCGAACCCAGGGCCUUGCACACGCUAGGCUAGUGCUCUACCACCGAGCCACAACCCCAGCCCCACUCAUGAAGUUUUUUAAGGAACAAAUGAGCCAAUGCCCAUGGACGUUUCUGUAGUUAACAAAUGGCUUUACAAAAUAGGUAAUAACCCUUUUUACAAUUAAAGCUAAGUGAAUGAGAAGAUCUUGAAGACAGAAGACAGAGAGAUCAGAGAUCCCAGGGUAAAAACUUGGAGAAAUUUCACAGUAUAUCAUCCAAAAAAGGAGUUCACGAUGGAGGCAGAGGUAAACUUGAACAGGUAAGAGACUCUGAAGGCAGGGAAGUGUUUUGGGGUGGGCACUGCAUAGUAGGAAAAAUUCAGUUGGAAAAUACUCAUCAAAAAUGUCCCUCUGGGGCCAGGAGCAGUGGCG